GCCUGGCUAGCUCAGUCGGUAGAGUAUGAGACUCUUAAUCUCAGUGUCGUGGGUUCCUGGCCCAUGUUGGGCG
rnacentral:tRNA from 1 species